GUGGGGAAUCUUCCGCAAUGGACGAAAGUCUGACGGAGCAACGCCGCGUGAGUGAUGAAGGUCUUCGGAUUGUAAAGCUCUGUUAAUCGGGACGAAAGAGCCUAGUGUGAAUAAUGCUAGGAAGUGACGGUACCGGAAUAGAAAGCCACGGCUAACUACGUGCCAGCAGCCGCGGUAAUACGUAGGUGGCAAGCGUUGUCCGGAAUUAUUGGGCGUAAAGCGCGCGCAGGCGGAUCUGCCAGUCUGUCUUAAAAGUUCGGGGCUUAACCCCGUGAUGGGAGGGAAACUACAGAUCUAGAGUAUCGGAGAGUAAAGUGGAAUUCCUAGUGUAGCGGUGAAAUGCGUAGAUAUUAGGAAGAACACCAGUGGCGAAGGCGACUUUCUGGACGAAAACUGACGCUGAGGCGCGAAAGCCAGGGGAGCGAACGGGAUUAGAAACCCUAGUAGUCC
rnacentral:rRNA from 1 species